ensembl:lncRNA
AUUUUCUUUAAGUGAUAUUUAAGCAUAAAUAUACAGGUGAACUUCCCUCAGCAGUCAGAGGCUGAGAUUACUUCCAGAGAAUUAAAAACAUGGAAUGCUGUGUAUUCCUGUAAAAAGGCAUACUUCAGGAUCUUGAACAUUAUGGCAGCACUGAAAAUGUGAAUCUCUAGGGGUCAGGUAAACAGAGCGCAGAUCUUCUAUCAAAAUCAACACUACAUUAAUGCAGUCCUGCCGAACUGUGUGGCAAAGCAAGAGAUGAUGUGUUACAAGGCAGUAACCUGUCUGCACUGGUUUUGUGUGAUGUUGCUUGCAAAUCGGAGCUGCCAAGUUCUACUUCAUGUAUAUCUGUAUCUGCUGAAAGGUAGGCUUGUGUAAGAUACCAUGCUGAGCACUUCAUUUGAAGCCCACUGCUUGGAAAGAUCUGGGAACAGUAUGCUGCUUACCCAGAUGAUGUCACUGGUGAAGUCUUGUUCAAACAUCAAAUUGUGCCUGCCAAGGGUAAGGACUUUCUAAAUGCUGAGGCAGGCUUUAUCUGUAACAUGACAUGCAUAGAAACGGUAAAAAGGUCAAGGAAAUUCUGUCAUUAGUGAAGUCCUUAACUAACAACAGAGAGUUGAUUUUAGGUAUGCUCAUUAACAUCUAAGGCUUAGCACUGCCUUUGAUCACUGGCUUUCAAUACAGGUUGCUUGUUCUGUGGUUGCCUUUACCCACAGUGGGGAGUGCUCUACCACAUAGCAGAGGCGGGUGCUCACUGGGGAGGGUUUUGAGAACAAAGAUCAGGCUUUCUGCUGGAACAGCCCGUGAAAAAUGUAGAAGUAAUCAAAAAAGUAUUGAGUUUCCUACUGUACAAUUCUAAGUCAAACAUGAGGUAUACGUGAGGGCUGUGGCAGUGGGAGAGCUUGCUCAGUGUUCACCCUCUGUGGGGGAGCAGGGUUCUUUAGAGCCUGGCUCCUUUGAGGCUGGUAUACGUAUUUUUUGUCAAUAGAAAGGGUAGUGAUUAACAAGUAUGUUCCUCUCCCUUGAAAGUUUCAUCUGUCUUUCCAGCAGGAGGAGUCCUGUGAUUACAGUGCAGCAAGGCCCAUGCAAGACCAUAGGAGAACUGGCUGGAGAGGAAAUAAGGGAGCAGUAAUGCAAAUGGUACUUCAGUUUCUUUUAAUAUGCUUCCUUGUAGGAGGCCAGUAAAAUGUUGUUUUCCAACAUUAGUAAAGUCUGGUUAUGAGAAGAACCAAACUGAAAGUGACCUGCAGAUAGCCUUCACAAAAGAUGGUAUGCUAACAGGGUGGGUGGUGAGUUUACACCAGAGGUGCCCUGUGAAAAACCUUAUUUCAGGUGCUCUGAACCAUUGCAAGUGCAUUUUCUUUCAGAAGGAUUUCCCAGGCGUACUUACUCUUCUCUUUCAGGGUUUACUGGGGAAGAGGAGUGGAUUCUGGGGACUGCAACAGAAACAAUUGUGCUGCUGGACUGACUACAGUUGUGCUGGAGAGCUGUUCUGAAUGAGCGUAGACAAUCAAAUGCUUCAUCAAAGCUGAAGUCCAGGUGUGUGUGUGCUGCUCAGCAUGUGUAUGCACACGUCUGUGCAGGCUGUCCCCAGAUGAAACACAGACACCCUUGUAAAGAGAAGUGAGGAUACUUUGAUAGGUACUCAGUUUGGGAAACCCCUUUUUCCUGCUUUCACUGGGGUUUUCUGGCAGGGCUAUGUGUUGAAAAGGAGGCAAUAGAAGCUUAGGUUUUUCAUUUUUCAAGGGGAAUGUUUCUGAAAUACCUUUUUUUUUUCAAAAUCUUCAAAAAUAAUUUGGCAUCGAACUAUAGUGGCUUGAGAUGUGUAUUAUCUUAAAGCCUAACCUCGAUGUAUUUUAAAGAUGUUCAUUAACAAAGCUUUUCUGCUAUGCGUAGUGCACAAAAGUAGUCUCUCAUUACUCCUUGUCUGUGUGCAGUGACACUGAGAAAAGGUUGGAUUUCUUUUGUUCCAGUGGUGAUUUGUGGCCUUGGAUAUUAUAGACAUUGGAUACUGUGAAGGAGUAAAAUGCACACUGUACUGAAAUUCCAGACCCUGAAAUGAAGGUUCUUCUUAAAGCUUAUUAGACUGGUGUUCAAACUGUCAUUUCCUUUCAAAAGCCUCUGUGAAAAAGUAUUGGAAAGGCUACAAAAGUUGAGAAACUUGGAAUUGAAAUCAAGGACAGGUUUUGUAUCCUAGUCUGUUGGGGCCACAAAUUUAGCAACCACGUGAAAAAUACAUCUGUCCUCUCCAAAUAUAUGUACUUACAUGAGCAAAAUUGCUUUAUUUAUUUGACAAGACUGAAAUACAAUACGUAGUAGUCAAAGAUGGGUAGGUUAUAUCAGGCUUUGUGCUGCAUGAGAGCAAGUUCCAUCUCCUUGCUUUAUCACAGCAUCAGAAUAUUAUGAAAGGAAGCUGUUUUUUUUUCCCUUGGUCAGAUAAAACCCAUUCAAUGCUUUAUCUCAAUCUUAGGUUAGAAAGAAUUCUUUAAAGAACACACUAAAGUCAAGCCAAGCUUCUUGUCAAUGGAGUGUCUUGACAUGUCAGGGAAUGAAGUCAAGUCCUCUCCCCCCAAAAAAUCCCUUGUGCCACUUAAUACCACUUUAGUUUGUUUUUCAUGUGAGAACUGUGAUUUACUUGGGGCACAGUUACAGCCUCUGGCACAUCACUGUUCUGCGCCAAGAAAAAUAUCCGCCAGUAGAGAUUUUUUGUUGAAUUUUGACAGGGUUGCUGCUUGGAAUUCAGCACAGCACUGUUAUCAAAGAUGAAUUGUUUUUGCCAUUUAAUAUUUGUUAGGAGAGUUGCAUUGGAUGUGUGCUUUUUUCACUCCAGGGAAGGGAAGGAGGUACAGUGUAACUUCAUUGUGGAUUGUUUGUACCUGUAGCCAUUGGUUUCUUUCUCUUCAAUUUUCUCUAUGGAAUUUAUUUUUUUCACCCAGAGACACUAAAAUAUCUGAUUUGUGCAAGCACAGUAGUGAGACUGUUCUUCUCUGAAGAAGGUCAAUUUAUUUUACUGCUCUCUGACUUUAUCAGGUCAAAUUAUCUUCAGAGCAGAAAUAGACCAAAGAUGCCUCUCCCUUCUCCCUCCUCCCCCAAAUUAAAAAUCAGGUAUGGCAAAACAGAAACAUUAGUUUCCUAGUUGUCUACAUGCUGCUUUUUGAGUUAUUCCAAAAAGCCACUAGCUUGGUAGGAGAUGACUUCUAUUUAUUUAACAAGCUCCUAGGUGGAGGUCACAGUCAUCUUUGGAAGGUGUAACUCUCAGAUUUCCAAGUUUGGACCAUGUGGGCUAAACUCGAAGAAAUUCAGAAAGUCUGAGAAGAGUCUUCAGCCUCUGAAGCUGUUCUAUGUGUAUGUGCCACCACGUGCUCAGUUUUCAAUGGAUGCAAUGGAUGAUCCGAAUGAGGAGCAGUCUCCUCUAGAAUGACUACAUAUCUGGAAUUGUUUUGAAUUCUUUGACUGACUUUAACAGCUUCUUUGGAAUAAUGUUAAUGUAAGCUACUUUUAUGGUAAUCUUGGGUGAGUUAAAACCUGUAAUGCCAUCUGCCUUGAUGGUUGAAUGGUGAAAUACAUACUCUCUUAAUGUUAUUAAAAGUCCACAGACUCAAGUCUGGUGAGACCAGAAUGGUAUGGAUUCCAACAACAACAACAACAAAGUGCUUUUCUUCAUUCUGUGUAUACCUUGGUGAGAUGGAAAGAAACUGACAUCUUUGCUCUUCCUCUGUGUUGUGUGGGGAUGUGGAGUAGAUUUGUGUAGGAAUUGACUCCUCCAAGGACUACAUGUUUUCUUUUUCUUUUGCUCAGCUUGGAUCUUCAGCUGCUUUUGCCUGUGGACUGGUCACACAUACCUUAAGGAGCUGCCUUUGUUGGCCUUGAAUUUUUAAACCCCCUGGUUUUCCUUAAAAUGUUAAGGGUUAUAGCGUAGCAGUAGGGCCCAGGGUGUAGAAGGGAGCAAAACGUUUCAGAGCAGGAGAGCUGGAGACUGUAGGCAUAGGAAAGAGCUGGAGUAUAGAGUAUUAGAGAAGGGGUGGCACUGAUAGCAGAGAGACCCUACUGUAAAGGUAGAUAUGGCUAAUAACACGUAGAGUACAAGGAAGGAUAAUAAAUCUGACAUCCUCAGCUUGUCUUUUUUUAAUGACAGUUUAAGCAUGGAAAACAGUAUAUUUUUUUAUGCCAAAGGAGCAAAAAACUGGUCACUUCACAGGUGAGGCAGUAACUGUGAGCUGCCCUGUAGGAUCUGUUGGAAGAAAGCCGGAGAAAUGACAAAAGCAAGGAAGCGGCAUGGGAAUGAUGAGCAGGUCAGCACACUGGAGAAGCAAAAUGAGGACAGUAGACGGGAAGGUAGAAGAAACAGUGAAAGAGGAGGCUGCAGCUGAAAAGGGGGGAAUUGUAAAAGGACACAGAAUUGUGGAGGAAAGAUAGACAGAAACAUGAAAUAAUGAAAGACUGCAGGUAAGCAACUUGUUCUCUGUGCCAAUCCUUCCUCUCUUCCUCCUGGACACGGCAGAACAAAACAUACUAGCAUGCAGUGGAGCACAGCAAUGAAAAAAUACACGCAAAAGAUGAACAGAUUGACUUCCCAAGUACUGUUGGCGUUCUUUAGUAAUGAUUUUUUUUUUCCGGAUCAUUUCUUUCUAUAUCAUGUACAAAGAAAAGACUCACUUUGCUUACCUUAAUGCAUUGAUUCGAAUCAAAUUCUCACCAAGAGCAUGAGCAGGUGAUAAAUUCUCUUGCUUUCAACUGUUUUUUGGAGUGAAGUUUGUAAAAAAUACCUUAUGUUGCUGGACUGUUGUCUGGGAGCUUUUCUCCUGCACUGCCUGAAAUACUGAAGUAUGUCAGAGGCUGUGUUUCUGCACAGCUUUGUAUGAUUCAAAGCUAACAGGCAGACUGCUCUGCAGCAGUAAUAUGAAAGGGAAGGUGGUUAUGUGACAAGAAAAUAUUGACAGUGUUUGGUUGCCUUGUUUAUAUCACUGGUUAACAGAAAAUAAGCACAGCAAGCAGUCAGAAAUGUUCCAUUUGGAUGUUAAAUGUGCACCUGGUGCAGAAGUGCCUCUACACGGCAGGAACCUGCAGGGCUUUGCACAGCUGUAAAGUUAAUGGACACUGAAUGCCUGGCUCUCCUUAACUAUUUCCACCUGCUUUGCCUGGCUCAUGCUCCUUUGAGUUCAGCUAAGCCAUCCUGAUUUGUAUUUGAUUAACUAAGAGGGAAUUAAGGCCCGUGUGUUUUCUCCCUUAAUCGUUUCUACAGUAUUCUGAGUUAACAUGAGAUAUUUGUUUGGGCAGUGUUUAUAUGUGAGGUUGGGAUGUCUCUCUGCUCCUCCUUCUUGUGUAUGUAGCCCCUGCUCGAAGCUAAUGAGUAACACUGGUAUAGCAGCCACAAACUCAUCAUGCAGAUUACUGUUUGAACCUGAGAUCAGUGCCAUGCUCUACAUCUUACUUCUCAUAUUCGCUGCUGGCGUUGUUACAGUAAUUAAUGGCACCCAGUCCUGAAAAAAAAAUGACCUCUCCUGUUCAUUAGGAAGUGAUUACCGUGAGGGGCUGCUAUUAAAUGAGCCGGCAUAGCUGCACUUAAUCAGACCAGCUGGACUGAAAGCAAGCAGGAGGGUUAAGCAAACAAACCGAAACGCAAGUGGGGCAAGUGAUGGAUCUGCUCCCUCAUAACUGGGAUAUUGCCAUGGAGUAGGUGCACUGAAAUGAACUGAAGCUGACUUUGCUCAGAGACUAAUAAAAGCAGGGUCCAUUUCUGC